rnacentral:lncRNA from 1 species
AGGCUGGUCUCGAACUCCUGACUUCAGGUGAUCCACCCGCCUAGGCCCCCCAAAAUGCUGGGAUUACAGACGUGAAACACCAUGCCCGGCUGUGAGACCCCGUUUCUACAAAAAAUUAGCCAGGCAUGAUGACACAUGUCUGUAGUCUCAGCUACUCGGGAGGCUGAGGUGGGAGGAUCCCUUGAGCCCAGAAAGUUGAGGCUGCAAUGAGUUAUGAUUGCAUGACUACACUCCAGGCUGGGCGACAGAGCAAGACCCUAUCUCAAAAAAAAAAAAAAAAAAAAACAAAACAAGAAGGGGAACAGUAGCCACAGGGUAACCAACCAAAAAACGGAAGAUGAUAAGGGUUGGCCAGGAUGUGGAGAGAGCAAAACCCUUAUGCUCUGAGGUGGGAAAUGGAACACAGUGAGCCUGACGAGAAACAGUCUGGCCGUUUCUCAGAAUUAAACAUGGAAUUACCAUAGGGCCUAGCAAUCCUGCUCCUGGGCAAGGCCCCAAGGAAUUCACAGCAGGGACUCAAAGAGAUCCUUGCACAGCCAUGUUCAUGGGGGCACAGCCCACAACAGCCAAAAGGUAGAGGCAACCCAAGUGUCCACAGACAGAUGAAUGAAUGAACACAAUGUACUCCAUCCGUACAUGAAUAUUACUGAGCCAUGAAAAGGAAGGGAAUCUGGACACAGGGCACAACAGGAUGAUCCUUGAAGAUGUCACGCUCCGUGAAAUAAGCCAAGGCCGGGCAUGGUGGCUCACCCUUGUAAUCCCAACACUUUGGGAAGCGGAGAGGGGUGGAUCACCUGUGGUCAGGAGUUCAAGACCAGCCUGGUCAACAUGGCAAAACCCCGUCUCUACUAAAAAUACAAAAAUUAGCUGGGCAUGGCGGUGGCGUGCCUGUAGUCCCAGCUACUUGAGAGGCUGAGGCAGGAGAAUCACUUGAACCCAGGAAGUAAAGGUUGCAGUGAGCCAAGAUUGCGCCAUUGCACUCCAGCCUGGGCAACAGAACAAGACUCCAUCUCAAAAAAAAAAAAAAAAAAAGGGAAGGAAGGGAGGGAGGGAGGGAGGGAGGAAGCUGGGCGUAGUCGCUCACACCUGUGAAUCCCAGCACUUUGGGAGGCUGAGACUGGAGGAGCCAAGGAGUUUGAGAUCAGCCUGGACAAUAUAGCAAGACCCUGUCUCUACUUUUAAAAAAAAUACUGGGGGGCUAGAGCAGUGGCUCACGCCUAUAAUCCCAGCACUUUGAGAAGCCAAGGCAGGAGGAUCGCUUGAGCCCAGGAGUCUGAGACCAGACUAGGCAACAUAGUGAGACCCUGUUUCUUUUUUUAAUUUAAAAUGUUAUUCUUGGCCGGGCACAGUGGCUCAUGCCUGUAAUCUCAGCACUUUGGGAGACCAAGGCACCCAGAUCACUUGAGGUUAGGAGUUCGAGACCAACCUGGCCAACAUGGUGAAACCCCGUCUCUGCUAAAAAUACAAAAAUUAGCUGGGUGUGGUGGUGCACACCUGUAAUCCCAGCUAUUUGGGAGGCUGAGACAGGAGAAUCACUUGAACCCAGGAGGCGGAGAUUGCAGUGAGCCAAGAUUGCACCACUGCUCUCCAGCUGGGGUGACAGAGGGAGAUUCCAUCUCAAAAAAAUAAAUUUAAAUUUAAAAAGUAAAAUAAAAUAUUUUUAAUUAAAACAACUUUUUUGGCCAGGCGCGGUGGCUCACUCCUGUAAUCCCAGGACUUUGGGUGGCUGAGGCAGGCAGAUCAUGAGGUCAGGAGUUUGAGACCAGCCUGGCCAACAUGGUGAAACCCCAUCUCUACUAAAAAUACAAAAAUUAGCCGGGCAUGGUGGCACACGCCUGUAAUCCUAGCUACUUCGGAGGCUGAAGCAGGAGACUAGCUUGAGCCAGGGAGGCAGAGGUUGCAGUGAGCUGAGAUCACGCCACUGCACUCCAUCCUGGGCGACAGAGCAAGACUCUGUCUUGGGGAAAAAAAUAAUAAUGAUUAAGAUGGCAAAUUUUGCUUUGUGUGUUUUGCUAAAAGUUAAAAAAAUAGGAACAGGAGCACUAGGGUAGCUAGCUCAUCCCAGUUGGCCCAGAACGUUCCUGGUGUUACCACUCAAAGUCCUGUGUUCCCAGGAGAAACAGGAGGAUGAGUCACCCUUAUGGGAGCCAAUCAGCUUGAGAAGUCAGAUUACUCCAUGACCCAUUCUUAUAGGGCUCAGAGAGGGAAAGAAACUUGCCCAAGGUCACCCAGCAGAGCUGAUAUUUGAACUCAGCUCUGUUGAAUGCCAACCCCCUGACCUUCUCCAGCCCCAUGUGGCCUUCCAUCUUCACACUCGCCUGCUGGGAAGACCCCCUCUCCCCUCCCAGAGCCAUCUAAGGGGCCCAGAGAAUCCCACCCCAACAUUGCCCGAGUACAGCUGGAUUCUGGGUGCAGUGAUGGUGUCGGUUAACCUCUGCCUGUCUCGCGGCUCCUGCCCUCCACAAACAGAACCAGUGACUCAUUCUCCCCAAAUGCAAAGCAGAUGCACCUGUAAUUUGUCCCCCUAGGAGUACCCGUCCAUCAGCGACAGGGACAGGGCACCCCGAGACCAGGCAGCCCCGGGUGCAGGUGGGCAGCUCCAGGACCCAGCCUGCUCGGCCCAAACCCAGGCAGCCUCUGCCACUUCCUGGCCCACUGUCCCCAGGCAGGUAAAACGCCGUCUCUGUGCCUCAGUUCCCUCCCUCGUGUGCUCAGCGUAGCACCAGGCGCUUGGAGUUAUCACAGCUGCUGGGUUGAUGGCUGGUGUCGCUAUGCACCACAGUGACAAACCGAGGCAGGCCCCGACCCACAGGCCAGCCCGAUGGGCACAGUGAGCGGGAUCCACCUGCCAGGUGUCUAGCAGGGCUUGGAAUUCUCCCCAGCACCCCGAGAGAGAUGCGUGCAACUGACUCCUUUUUGCAGAUGGGGAAACUGAGGCUCGGGAAGUGGAUUUGCUUACCCAAGACCACACAUGAAAGGUGGAAUCAGGGCCAGGUGAGGUGGCUCACGCCUGUAAUCCCAGCACUCUGUGGGGCCAAGGUGGGUGGAUCACCUGAGGCCAGGAGAUCGAGACCAGCCUGGCCAACAUGGUGAAACCCCGUCUCUACUAAAAACACAAAAAUUAGCCAGGUAUGGUGGUGCAUGCCUGUAAUCCCAGCUACUCGGGAGGCUGAGGCAGGAGAAUC